CAGUCGCCACGGUAAUACAGAGGAUGCAAGCGUUAUCCGGAAUGAUUGGGCGUAAAGCGCGCGUAGGUGGUUUGUUAAGUUGGAUGUGAAAGCCCCGGGCUCAACCUGGGAACUGCAUCCAAAACUGGCAAGCUAGAGUACGGUAGAGGGUGGUGGAAUUUCCUGUGUAGCGGUGAAAUGCGUAGAUAUAGGAAGGAACACCAGUGGCGAAGGCGACCACCUGGACUGAUACUGACACUGAGGUGCGAAAGCGUGGGGAGCAAACAGGAUUAGAUACCCGAGUAGUCCCUGUCUCUUAUAC
rnacentral:rRNA from 1 species